rnacentral:rRNA from 1 species
CUACGGAGGAUGCGAGCGUUAUCCGGAUUUAUUGGGUUUAAAGGGUGCGUAGGCGGGCUGUUAAGCGUGAGGUGAAAGCUCGGGGCUCAACCCCGGAACUGCCUCGCGAACUGGCGGUCUUGAAUGUCCGUGCCGUGGGAGGAAUGUGUGGUGGAGCGGUGAAAUGCAUAGAGAUCACACAGAACACCGAUUGCGAAGGCAUCUCACGAACGGAUGAUUGACGCUGAGGCACGAAAGCGUGGGGAUCAAACAGGAUUAGAUACCCUGGUAGUCCACACUGUAAACGAUGAUAACUCGCUGUCGGCGAUACAUAGUCGGUGGCCAAGCGAAAGCGAUAAGUUAUCCACCUGGGGAGUACGACCGCAAGGUUGAAACUCAAAUGAAUUGACGGGG